AUUGAACGCUGGCGGCAGGCCUAACACAUGCAAGUCGAGCGGAUGAAGGGAGCUUGCUCCUGGAUUCAGCGGCGGACGGGUGAGUAAUGCCUAGGAAUCUGCCUGGUAGUGGGGGAUAACGUCCGGAAACGGGCGCUAAUACCGCAUACGUCCUGAGGGAGAAAGUGGGGGAUCUUCGGACCUCACGCUAUCAGAUGAGCCUAGGUCGGAUUAGCUAGUUGGUGGGGUAAAGGCCUACCAAGGCGACGAUCCGUAACUGGUCUGAGAGGAUGAUCAGUCACACUGGAACUGAGACACGGUCCAGACUCCUACGGGGGGCAGCAGUGGGGAAUAUUGGACAAUGGGCGAAAGCCUGAUCCAGCCAUGGCGCGGGGGUGAAGAAGGUCUUCGGAUUGGAAAGCACUUUAAGUUGGGAGGAAGGGCAGUAAGUUAAUACCUUGCUGUUUUGACGGUACCAACAGAAUAAGCACCGGCUAACUUCGUG
rnacentral:rRNA from 1 species